GUGUGAUUUCUGCACCUUUUCUCUUAGUGAGUUUACUGUAUACAGGAAUGCUCUUGAUUUUUGAUUGUCAACUUUGUUUCCAGGUACAUUAUUGAAUUUGGUUAAGUCUAGAAGCCUUUUGGUGGAGUAAUUGACAUCUUCUGCAUAGAAUAUCAUGUCACCUGUGAAUAAUGAUAGUUUACCUACUUUCUGUUAUAUGAUUAUUCUUAUUUGUCUCUUAUCUCUAAUUGUUCUGCCUAAUGAUUCCAGAGCUAUAAUGAAUAAGAGUGGUGAUAGUAAUCAUCAUUUUCUUGUUCUUAAUUGUGGUGUGAAAGUUUUUAGUUUUUCACCACUUAGUAUGAUGCUGGGUGUAUUUUUGUCUUUGCUUGUUUUAUCAGAGUGAGGUAAAGGCUCUCUAUUGUUACAUUCUGUAGGAUUUUAUUAAAAAUCAGUGCUUGAUUUUAUCAAAAGCUCAUCAUGCAUUUGUUGAGAUGAUCACUAUGUGACUUUUGUUUUUGUGUGUGUUGAUAUAAUGUUUAAAUUUGUUGAUUUGCAUGUACUGAAACAUCCCUGCCUUCCUGGGAUGAAUCCAAGUUGUCAGGUUUUAAAAUCUUCUUGAUAAUUUGCUACAUUCACUUUGCUAGUAUCUUAGUAAGGAUAUUUGCAACUAUGUUCAUUAGGCAAACUUCCCUGUGGUUUUCUUUUGCUGGUUGUGACUUUCUCUGGUAUUAGUAUCAGUGUGAUGCUGGCUUCCAGGAAAGAGAUAGGGAGAACUGCUUCUCUUUCAACUUCAUUAAAGAGUAGGGGCCUUCAAUUUUCUGUACAUUUCUUAUAAAAUUCAGCAGUAAAUCCCUGAAGACUUAGACUUCCAUAUGUUGGUCAGUUGCCUUUUUGUUGUCAUUGUUUGCUUUAUUUUAAUGUAUUUUCCAGAUGGUCUUAUUACGCACUGGAAUGGCCUUGAGCUCACAUUGUAGCCCUGGUUAGUUUCAAACUCACAACAAUCCUUCUACCUCAGCCUCCCAAGUUCUGGGGUUACAGGCAUGCACCACCUGGCCAGUAUCCAAUAAAAUUUAAUUAGAUCUUCAGUCUCAUUGACAGAUACUGCAUUAUCUAGAAUUUUUAUAUCUCCUUAGUCAGCUUUGGCAAUUCAUAUGAAUCUAGGAAUUGAUUCAUUUCUAUGUUAUGCAACCUAGGGAAGCAUGGGUUUUUGAAGUAGAUACUGAUGAUCUUAAUUUUCACACGAUCUGUAGUUAGUUUAAUGUUUUCAUUCCUCAAUGAAUCGUUUUGAGUGGUUCUUUUCUUCUUUUGAUGUGGUUGGCUAAAGGUUUAUCAAUUCUAUUAUUCUUUCAAUGAACCAACUCUUUGAUUCAUUAAAUCUUUUUAUUGUUUUUAUGUUCUGCACUGCAUUACUUUCUUCUCUGAUCACUAUAGUUUCCUUACUUUUAUUGGCUUUGAGGUUUUCAUGCCAUUUUUUUUCUGGAAGUGUGAGGCACAACAGUAUAAAUUUAUUUAUGCUCUUUCUAUUCCCUGAAGAGAAAUUUAAGUACUAUUAAUUUCCCACUUCAAACUGCUUUCAUUGAAUCCCAUGAGAACCAAGGUUUGCAUCUAUAAUUUUGUUCUGUUGUUGAUACUUUCAGGUUUCUUCCUUUAUUUCAUCUGUGACAUAUUGAUUGUUUGCUAGAGUGUUACUUAAUUUCCAUAUAUUUAUGAAAUUUUUGUACCUUCUUUUACAAUUAUUUCCCAAUUGUAUUGCACUAUGGUCAGGUAAAAUGCACGGGGUAAGUUCAGUUUCUUUGCAUUUACUUCAGCAUGUUCUGUGGACUAGUUUAUGUGGCCAGUUUUAGAGAACCUCCCCUGCACAGCUGAGAAGAAUGUUUAUUCUGAAUAUGUUGGGUCACAUACUUGGUAAACAUCUAUUCAGUUCAUUUGUUCACAGAUUCAGUUCUACUUUCUUAUUUGUUUGCUGAUUAUUAGUCUUGUUCAUGUGUUUGUGAUAGUGGGAUAUUGAAGUCUCUUGGGUCAAUUGUGUUAUUUUUUGUUUGCAUUAUUUUCAUGUCUUUUAACAAUUGCCUUAUCUUGUUGGGCGCUCUUGUAUUAGAUGCACACAUAUUUAUGAUUGUUAUCUUAUCCUUUUAAAAACUUUCCAUUAACAUCUAUGCAGUGAGUCUCUUUAUCUUUUUGGACAUUCUUGGUUUUAAGUUCAUAUUGUCUGAAAGAGAAUAGCUACUCAUGCUUUUUUCUGGGCCUCUGUUGCAUGGAAGAUUGUUUUCUGUCCUUUGACUUUCAGUCUAUGAAUUACUUUUUGAAUUAAACAUUUUUUUCUGUAUACAGCAUAUUUAUAUAUCUUGUUUCUUGAUCCAUUUCACCCAUCUAUUUCUUUUGGUUAAUGAGAUGUGACCAUUAACAAUGAUAUGUAUUGGUUUGUCUUUGUUGUAAUAUUGUUCUUCUGUUGAUUCUCUGCUUUUCUCCACUGUUUAGUUACUUGUCCUGCCUGGUUGUUUCUCUGUUUUUCUUGUAAUUUUUGUCAUUUUUACCUCUCUCUAGUAUAACUUUCAUUACUUUUUCUACGGUCAGUUUUGCAGUCAUAUAUUUCUCAGUUUUUCUUUGUCAUGGAAGUAUCUUAUGUUUCCAUUAAUUUUGAAAGUUUUGCAGGAUACACCAAUCUGGAUUGUAUGUUCUUUCCUUUCAGGACUUGUACUUCUGUCCAACUUCAGGACUUGUUCUUCUGUUUCAACUACAGCUUUCUUCUUUACUUGGAUAUUUGUGUUGAGAAGACUGAGUGUUGGCUGGACACCAUGUUCAAGGACCAGCUGAAGAGUUUGUACCUGAUUCAUCUCCAGUGCCUUCAUCAGCUCUGGGACCACUGGAAGAGGCAGCACCUGGAAGCCCAUCUCUGUCAACUCAGAUGCAUCAUUAACAGUGGCUCCACAGCCAGUGUCAGCUCCUCAACUCCACUGAUGUCAGCUCAUGCUAAAAACCUGAAUUUCCCAUCUCCUCCACUAUUUUUUUCCAUUUUCUUGCACUUACCUCUAUACUCUUUUUAAAUAUUAUGGCAUGAAUUAAUUUUAAACAAAUUAUAGGAUUUCAUUCAUUUUAAUUAAAAUCCUCAGGGAAGUGGCACUA